ACGAACGCUGGCGGCGUGCCUAAUACAUGCAAGUAGAACGCUGAAGAGAGGAGCUUGCUCUUCUUGGAUGAGUUGCGAACGGGUGAGUAACGCGUAGGUAACCUGCCUUGUAGCGGGGGAUAACUAUUGGAAACGAUAGCUAAUACCGCAUAACAAUGGAUGACACAUGUCAUUUAUUUGAAAGGGGCAAUUGCUCCACUACAAGAUGGACCUGCGUUGUAUUAGCUAGUAGGUGAGGUAACGGCUCACCUAGGCGACGAUACAUAGCCGACCUGAGAGGGUGAUCGGCCACACUGGGACUGAGACACGGCCCAGACUCCUACGGGAGGCAGCAGUAGGGAAUCUUCGGCAAUGGGGGCAACCCUGACCGAGCAACGCCGCGUGAGUGAAGAAGGUUUUCGGAUCGUAAAGCUCUGUUGUAAGUCAAGAACGAGUGUGAGAGUGGAAAGUUCACACUGUGACGGUAGCUUACCAGAAAGGGACGGCUAACUACGUGCCAGCAGCCGCGGUAAUACGUAGGUCCCGAGCGUUGUCCGGAUUUAUUGGGCGUAAAGCGAGCGCAGGCGGUUUGAUAAGUCUGAAGUUAAAGGCUGUGGCUCAACCAUAGUUCGCUUUGGAAACUGUCAAACUUGAGUGCAGAAGGGGAGAGUGGAAUUCCAUGUGUAGCGGUGAAAUGCGUAGAUAUAUGGAGGAACACCGGUGGCGAAAGCGGCUCUCUGGUCUGUAACUGACGCUGAGGCUCGAAAGCGUGGGGAGCGAACAGGAUUAGAUACCCUGGUAGUCCACGCCGUAAACGAUGUCGACUUGGAGGUUGUGCCCUUGAGGCGUGGCUUCCGGAGCUAACGCGUUAAGUCGACCGCCUGGGGAGUACGGCCGCAAGGUUAAAACUCAAAUGAAUUGACGGGGGCCCGCACAAGCGGUGGAGCAUGUGGUUUAAUUCGAAGCAACGCGAAGAACCUUACCAGGUCUUGACAUCCCGAUGCUAUUUCUAGAGAUAGAAAGUUACUUCGGUACAUCGGUGACAGGUGGUGCAUGGUUGUCGUCAGCUCGUGUCGUGAGAUGUUGGGUUAAGUCCCGCAACGAGCGCAACCCCUAUUGUUAGUUGCCAUCAUUCAGUUGGGCACUCUAGCGAGACUGCCGGUAAUAAACCGGAGGAAGGUGGGGAUGACGUCAAAUCAUCAUGCCCCUUAUGACCUGGGCUACACACGUGCUACAAUGGUUGGUACAACGAGUUGCGAGUCGGUGACGGCAAGCUAAUCUCUUAAAGCCAAUCUCAGUUCGGAUUGUAGGCUGCAACUCGCCUACAUGAAGUCGGAAUCGCUAGUAAUCGCGGAUCAGCACGCCGCGGUGAAUACGUUCCCGGGCCUUGUACACACCGCCCGUCACACCACGAGAGUUUGUAACACCCGAAGUCGGUGAGGUAACCUUUUGGAGCCAGCCGCCUAAGGUGGGAUAGAUGAUUGGGGUG
rnacentral:rRNA from 1 species